rnacentral:lncRNA from 1 species
UCCCUGAAGGGGAAGUAAAUGCAAAGAAGAGUUCUUUGUGUGCCGAGUGGCAAGUGGUGUUGGAGCGCGUAGAGUCGUUGAGUUUCGACUUGCGCUACCCCCUAGAGUGACGGAGACCGUAAUGCACUUUGUGAGAUGUGCCUUGCAAAGUUGGAUGCGUUUGGUAUCAUGAGCUCCGUAGUAGUCCUCUUGGAUAGUUCCAAAGAGUGUAAAGCCCUUCCGAAGUGGAAAAGUGCGUUGGUGCCCUCAAUUGCUCGAGGAGCUGAAUUGAGGUGUGGUUUGAGUUUCGCGGACGAAACUCUUUUAAGGGGUGGAGAAUGUAAUAUACCGAACUUCUAAUUCAUGAAGUUACGAUGUAUGUUAGCUUAGAAAGCC